ACCGGUUUAGUUCAGUGGCAGAACGCGGGCCUCCAAAACCCGAUGUCGACUGUUCGAUUCAGUCAGCCGGUG
rnacentral:tRNA from 1 species